rnacentral:rRNA from 1 species
GAUGAACGCUAGCGGCAGGCCUAACACAUGCAAGUCGAACGGUAACAGCAGAGCUUGCUCUGGCUGACGAGUGGCGCACGGGUGCGUAACGCGUAUACAAUCUACCUAUUACUGGGGUAUAGCCCGGAGAAGUUUGGACUUAACCCCCAUAGUAUUACUGAAUGGCAUCAUUUAGUAAUUAAAACCACGGUGGUAAUAGAUGAGUAUGCGUCCUAUUAGUUAGUUGGUAAGGUAACGGCUUACCAAGGCAGCGAUAGGUAGGGGUCCUGAGAGGGAGAUCCCCCACACUGGUACUGAGACACGGACCAG